GCUCUUGAGUGCGAUCAUGUUGGGUGUUGGGGAGCUUAACCGCCCUCGCGCUUGCGUAUUUGUGCUCUUAGGGUGUAUUUGCCCGUAUGGUAGGUUAACAUCAAUUCUGUUCGUCAUAAAAUGACGGGAGGAAUGUAGCUUUGAUCUCGUAUUGAAGUGUUAUAGCCUCUGGUAGAUGUGAUGAACGGGAUUGAGGAUUGCAACGAACCCUUCGGGGCCACCUGUCUGGCCUCUGGUGGUCGCUCUGGUGCCGAAAGCGUGCUUACGGUCAUCAAAGUUGGUUGCCAAAAGGUUAGAACGGGUUGAUUUCGUUAAGGAUGUUGACGUAA
rnacentral:rRNA from 1 species